rnacentral:siRNA from 1 species
UAUAACCGUAUUGCCGCCACUAC